GAAAAGCCUCUAGAUAGAAAAUAGGUGCCCGUACCGCAAACCGACACAGGUAGUCAAGAUGAGAAUUCUAAGGUGAGCGAGCGAACUCUCGUUAAGGAACUCGGCAAAAUGACCCCGUAACUUCGGGAGAAGGGGUGCUCUUUAGGGUUAACGCCCAGAAGAGCCGCAGUGAAUAGGCCCAAGCGACUGUUUAUCAAAAACACAGGUCUCUGCUAAACCGUAAGGUGAUGUAUAGGGGCUGACGCCUGCCCGGUGCUGGAAGGUUAAGAGGAGUGGUUAGCUUCUGCGAAGCUACGAAUCGAAGCCCCAGUAAACGGCGGCCGUAACUAUAACGGUCCUAAGGUAGCGAAAUUCCUUGUCGGGUAAGUUCCGACCCGCACGAAAGGCGUAACGAUUUGGGCACUGUCUCAACGAGAGACUCGGUGAAAUCAUAGUACCUGUGAAGAUGCAGGUUACCCGCGACAGGACGGAAAGACCCCGUGGAGCUUUACUGUAGCCUGAUAUUGAAAUUCGGCACAGCUUGUACAGGAUAGGUAGGAGCCUUUGAAACGUGAGCGCUAGCUUACGUGGAGGCGCUGGUGGGAUACUACCCUAGCUGUGUUGGCUUUCUAACCCGCACCACUUAUCGUGGUGGGAGACAGUGUCAGGCGGGCAGUUUGACUGGGGCGGUCGCCUCCUAAAAGGUAACGGAGGCGCUCAAAGGUUCCCUCAGAAUGGUUGGAAAUCAUUCAUAGAGUGUAAAGGCAUAAGGGAGCUUGACUGCGAGACCUACAAGUCGAGCAGGGUCGAAAGACGGACUUAGUGAUCCGGUGGUUCCGCAUGGAAGGGCCAUCGCUCAACGGAUAAAAGCUACCCCGGGGAUAACAGGCUUAUCUCCCCCAAGAGUUCACAUCGACGGGGAGGUUUGGCACCUCGAUGUCGGCUCAUCGCAUCCUGGGGCUGUAGUCGGUCCCAAGGGUUGGGCUGUUCGCCCAUUAAAGCGGUACGCGAGCUGGGUUCAGAACGUCGUGAGACAGUUCGGUCCCUAUCCGUCGUGGGCGUAGGAAAUUUGAGAGGAGCUGUCCUUAGUACGAGAGGACCGGGAUGGACAUACCUCUGGUGUACCAGUUGUCGUGCCAACGGCAUAGCUGGGUAGCUAUGUGUGGACGGGAUAAGUGCUGAAAGCAUCUAAGCAUGAAGCCCCCCUCAAGAUGAGAUUUCCCAACUUCGGUUAUAAGAUCCCUCAAAGAUGAUGAGGUUAAUAGGUUCGAGGUGGAAGCAUGGUGACAUGUGGAGCUGACGAAUACUAAUCGAUCGAAGACUUAAUCAA
rnacentral:rRNA from 1 species